rnacentral:snRNA from 1 species
AGCUUUGCACAGCAGCAGUGUUGCAGCCAAUGAGAUUUAUCCGAGGUGUGAUGUAUCGCUAAUUGAACACUUUUCCCAAUACCCUGCCAUGAUGACUUGCAAUAUAGUCGGCAUUGGCAAUGUUUGACAGUCUCUGUACAGA